GACGAACCGGACAAACGUUAUUCGGAAUUACUGGGCUUAAAGGGUUUGUAGGCGGCCUUGUAAGUCAGGUGUGAAAUCCCUCGGCCCAACCGAGGAAUGGCGCUUGAUACUGCACGGCUUGAGGGAGACAGGGGUAAGCGGAACUGAUGGUGGAGCGGUGAAAUGCGUUGAUAUCAUCAGGAACACCGGUGGCGAAAGCGGCUUACUGGGUCUCAUCUGACGCUGAGGAACGAAAGCUAGGGGAGCGAACGGG
rnacentral:rRNA from 1 species